rnacentral:lncRNA from 1 species
CACCCAUUUGUUUUUUAUGAUGGAGCCUCCAAAUCGAUGAUCGACACCGUUGAAUAUGAUUUAUAUCACAUGAAAUGUUUAGAAAUCAAAUUUCAUACAUUUUCGAUAUUGUUCUCUUAUCCAUCGUGUGGACACAAAAAUGAACAGCUAAAAAUGAAUAUUCUUUAAAAAACGGUGAUAGGAGUCUUGUAAUCAAGAUCAAGAGCAUAGAUCUUGUUUUAUAUAGUUUAAAAAAUUUUCUAAUAAAAAUUAAAUUGGUUUGGAUAUCUUUAUGCUGUUAAACGAGAAAACGUCUCGUAUCAUCAAUCAUUAAAAUUACAACUUCUGAACCCUUUGAUCAUUAGGCAAAUGAAGUCGAAAAGAUUUGAAAUUUAAUUUCUAAACACUUCAAUUGGUACAAAUCAUGUUCAAUGGUACCGAUCUUCGAAUUGGAGGCUCUAUCAUCGAAAACAAAUUGGUGGUAAUGGAGACUGUUUGCUAUCGAUAGUAUUCUAGCUCAUCGAAAACAAAUCCGUGCUCCUGAGCCGUUUUCGAUGGAGUUUUCGAAUCGACGAUCAGCUCCGUUAAACUUGAUCUAGCGCAUUUGAAGUUUCUAGAAAAUAAUUUUUGCAAUUUUUUGAUAUCAUUUACCUAGUGAUCGAAAGAAUUUAAAAUCCAUAAUUUUUAAUGGUUGAUAUCUGCCGCUUUCAAGUUAACGAUGUAGAAGUAUUCAAAUCAGAUGAAAUUUUGAUACAAAAUUCUUUAUACUAUCUACAAUAAGAUCAAUAUUUCUGAUCGAAAAUUUUAGUACUAUAUCACCACUUUUUAUAUGAUUUUUAUUUUCAGCCGUUAAAAAUUAUUGAUUUUGAAUUAUUUCGAUUGCUUGGUAAAUGAUAUCGAAAAAUCGCAAAAAUUAUUUUCUAGAAACUUCAAAUACGCUAGGUCAAGUUUAACGGAGCCGAUCGUCGAUUCGGAAACUCCAUCAUCGAAAACGGCUCAGGAGCACGAAGGCCUCCGUGCUUCUGAGAGCACAACAGCCCUGCUCUCUCUCUCUCUCUCUCUCUCUCUCUCUCAAUUGCUUAUAUACCCCUGAAAAGUUUUCGAGUUUUUGAUUUCUCUCUCUUAGAAGGCUAAUAUUGAAAAUACCCUUUCUACGUUCCAACCUAUUUCUAAUAUACCCAUAGAGUUAAAAUCUGUUAUAUCUGUAAAAUUACUAUUUUGCCCUUUCAAAUAUACCCUUCCACCAUCACUGACUUUCUUAUUUGCCCUUAAAGUCAGGGACAAAAAAAAUAUUUUGACUUUUGGUCUUUUCCAAUAUACCCCUCUAUCGUCAUCAACAUUUUUUAUUUGCCCUUAAGUUAAAGGCAAAAUUGACAUUUAAUUUUUUUUAACUGUGGUAGAUAUUUAACUAAUGUUUAACCCAAGUUAACUUAACAGGAGAUAACUGUGGGGGUAUUUUGCAAUAACGGUGGAACAUAUGAGGGGUAUUUUAGAAAGAAAAAAAAAGUAGGGGUAAAUCAAAUAUUUUCAAACAUAUG